GUGUCCCCCUUCCUUCCCAUACAGAGUCGCCAGUCGCCAUAGCCAACCUCUCUCUCUCUCUCUCCUCCCCUCAACGAACCCUAGAAGAAACCUUAACAAAAUCCACAGCCGCCUUCCCCUUCCCACAUCAGCAGGUGAGAUGCACUUUCUUCUACGCAUAGCUGGGUAGGGUAGAAUCUCACACAUUCUUUUACUUACUACAAAGAAUGCCAGAUCUGUUUUUUUUUAUUUUAUGAACAAUGCCCGAUCCGUUAGGUUUGGUAGAUUUCUGAAUCAUGUAGUAGUAGAUUUCUCCUUCUAUGAGUAGAAUCUCAUUCUCACGCACCUGGUUCUCUCUCACAAGGCAGAUUUCAUUUCCCCACUUGCACUCCGUGAGUCUACAUGUUCUAGCUUCUCCAAUCUUUUUUAUUAACCAAGUUAUUACUGCUGCUUAAUCAGCCACGCACUAACCCAUUCUAAGGCAAGAUAAGUUGGUGGCUCCUCUGCUCUCGAAUCCCUUCCAAAUUAUGAAGUAAUCAAUCUCCUAAUUGUAAUAUCACAUAAGUUUACUGUAGGAAAUGUCUUGGAAUCCUGGAUCUGUAUGUGUUUGAUUAAUUGGCUGCCAGAAAUCUUGUGCAAAGCAGUCACUUAGGUCGGUGGUCAAAAAUUGCUCUGUUUCAUGACCCACACAAUUUAGGGACUGGUCGUUAUAAUUAUGAAAAGAACUAAUCACUUCUGUUGCCUAGCAAGCACAAGCGAAGUGGAGUCCCUAUAUUUUCAUUAGUUCUUCUUUGAAGGAAGCAGAUCCAUAAAACAAACACAUUCAAACCGUUAGGGAGACAGUAACUUCAGUAACUAGCUAGUAGGCGCUGUCUGUAGGAUAUGAUUUAGUUGUCCCAUAUCGUCAAUUCAAUAGCGGCAGGCAGAUAAUAUCUAAAUCUGUCAUAAGACUUAAUGCAAGGAAAAUUCAAUAAGCUUCUGAAUAUGCUUUGAUUCACUCACAAGCCCUGGCUUUUCGUAAGCUCAUAGGCAUAUGCAUUCACUCACCGGGUUUUGAUAAGUUUGUUUGCACUGUCUGUGCUGUACCACUUUUUAUCCAUAGCCUUCAACUAGUAAAGUCGGGCUGAUAGGUGGUCAUAGGACUUAAAGCAAGGUAAAUUCAGUAAGCUUCUGAAUAGGCUUUGAUUCCACUCAUAAGCCCUGGAUUUUCGUACAAGCUCAUAGGCACAUGCAUUCACUCACCGGGUUUUGAUAAGUUUGCUUGCACUGUCUGUGCUGACCACUUUUUAUCCAUAGCCUUCUCCGCUUGCCUCUUUCCUUUCAAAAAUAGAACUCAUCUGAACUGACUAACUAAGAAAGCAAAACCUGCUUUAUAUUGAUGAUGCAACAUGGUUAAUCUACAUGUUAACGAGUCGCUGGGGCCUUAAUCAACCAUGGGCUAACCCUUUCCAAAGACGCGUUGAAAUCCAGGAUCUGUUAGCUUGGUGUGCAGCAUUGUUGCAUCAAACAAUAAUUACGUGUUGUUGUUGGAACUAAUCCUUUCUGUUGCCUCAUGUGAACGAACCAGCUAAACAAGUACUAUAUUGAUUCAUGCGACAUGGGUACUGUCGAUAUCGUUGAGUUCGCUGGGGCCUUAAUUAAGGACAGUAUAACCGCACCUAAAGCGAGCCCUCACAGUGAUUUGGGUUUUCAGCCGUCCGUCUUCAUGAUCAGGAUGUUUCUGGUCGUUGGAUCUUCGUGUCAAGCGAUCUGACCUGCAUGUGGUAAAUACUGGGCCUACUGUCCUAUGGGCAGCUACUCCACAGGCCGAAACGGCGCCCUGUGGUUAACUGGGCCGUAGGCCAGCCCAUUCCCGGUGAUCGUUCGUUUCCUCCCGUUCCACCAUCACCUCUCGUCCCACUCGUUCGAUUCGCAGCCCCAUCUAUCCUCCUUCUUUCACCCACGACACAGGCGGCGCCGCCACCAUACUCAUGGCGCAGUCAGCGGAGGAACUAAUCCAGCCAAGGCGCCACGAGGGGAUCUAGUGGACGCGCUCCAACUGUGGCUCCACGAGGGGAUCGGCGAGGGGAUCCGGCGCGGGGGGAUAGGCGGGCGGACCCAUCCCUCCCGAGUAGUCCUACUGACCUCAACCUUGGGCGGAUUCUAGGUCCGUCGCCGCCACCGGAUCGUAGGUCCUCCACCCCGAGGUUUCUCCCUACCCCGCCCCUUUUCUCCACACCGAUGGAAAUCCUAGCCCAAUCGCUGCCUGCUGUUCGAAUCGCCAACGGGGAAGAAAGGCAGUCUUUACUCGCACAUGCUGGUCGACUGUUAGAUUAGGGGAGAAGACCAACUACAGGCAGUCAUGUGGGUGUUCUCCAGUUCAUAGAAAUAUAUCCAUUAUUUUCCUGUUGCACUGCACAUUCUCCAACUCCUUGUUAUUUGUGCACAUCGAGUUCCUAUUCAUGACUUGGAACAACCAGUAGACUCUGCUCAGUUCUUUUCUACAAUAAUGCGAGGUUGAUGAUGAGUUCUGCAUGAAACAAAGCUAAUUGGUGUUCAGCAAGGUUCUGGUCAAAUGAUUCAGGCCAAUAUUGUGGCUGGUUCUCGUAUUUUGGUUCAAGGAAUUUUUCAAUCUACAACGGCUGCUAGCCAGGUUCAGGUAGCUGGAGCCUGACACUCUUCGCCCUCAAGAACCACUUCGGUGCCGCCGCGGCCGGCAGCGACAACUUCAGCAGCCUCUUCUCUGCCGGCACCGCCGACCAGCUCGCCCUCGAGUUCCCCCCUUCAACAACUUUGAUGGGUUCUAGAAGGCGACCGAGGAGAUGGUGAACAACAAGAAGAGGACGACCACACUCUCCUUCAUCUUCGACAAAGGCGUCAUCGUCGCCGCUGAUUCUCGGGCCAGCAAUGGGAAUACUGCUUCUCUUUUACCAUGGCAUCAUGCAAGUCUCUUGUAUUAUAGUAUUUGCACUAUGCACAUCCUGUAUAAACUGUGUUAGUGAGAAUGCUUCACACAUAGAUAGAAUGCUUAUUAUUAGGUGGCGGUUCAGUUAGUUUAAAGGUGAAUGGUGUAUAAGAGGCUCACUUGCUGGUUGGUACUUCCUCCGUUCGAAAAUAGAUGACUCAACUUUGUACUAACUUUAGUACAAAGUUAGUAUAAAGUUGGGUCAUCUAUUUUGGAACGGAGGGAGUACAUCGUAAUUUUAUUUCUUCCAGUAAGAGAUCUUUGACAAUUGUCAAAUUCUGUUCCGUACUUACAUAUGUAAGAGGCAGCAAUGUUUCUUGUAUUAUAGUAUUUGAACUAUACACAUCCUGUAUAAACUGUUUUAAUGGGAAUUCUUUCUUCAAAUUAUCUACAAGCUCC